rnacentral:rRNA from 1 species
AUUUAUUUAAUUCUGGUUGUGGAAGGGGUAAGGGGGAGUGUCACAUAGGGAGGUUGUUUUGGUAUGUCGGGUUUGUGUAUCCUGAUUUCUUAGUGAUUAGAUCUCGGUUUUCGUGGAGAUUCGGAUCGGGCUCUCUUGGGUUGUAAGUGGUGGAUGCGCAGUGCCAGCCUCCGCGGUUAUUCUGUUAACUUCCCCUUCUGUUUAGUUGAAGUGGUUUUCCGGGUUACUCGGAUGUUGAGGUAGAAUUUUUAGUCUUUUGGAAAGGGGCCUGGAGAUUUGUGCGUUUGGAGGGUUUUGUGAGGAAAAGGAUUAGAGACCCUUGUACUGGGCACAUUAUUUUGUGGCUUUAGUAAAAACUAAAAGGAUUUGGCAGCCGAUGAAGUUCGUCCGGGGGAGUGUGUGCUUUAAGAGAUAGUCCGCUUAUGAGUUUACCGCUGUUAUUCUGUUAGUGUAUAUCCGGUUUGAGAUUCGUGGUUUCUGCCAUCGGGUGUAGAUAGUUUAUUGAAUCCAGGUCGAUGUGCUGCUGAUGCAGCGGGGGUUAUGCACUACGGUGUGAAAAGGCUCUCGUGAGAAUUGGGGGUUGUGUUUAGGACUCGGAAGUAGGUGAGUAGGAGCUUGGCUUAUCGAAGUAUGAUUUAGUUGGGGUACAUACCGCCCGUCGCCCAGGGUGUUAACUGUGGUAAGUCGUAACAUGGUAAUGCUGGGGGAACCGAGCAUUAGUUGGCUCUUCUGUGUAUUAGUCGGGUUG